rnacentral:rRNA from 1 species
CCUACGGGAGGCAGCAGUGGGGAAUAUUGCACAAUGGGGGAAACCCUGAUGCAGCGACGCCGCGUGAGUGAAGAAGGAUUUCGGUAUGUAAAGCUCUGGCAGCAGGGAAGAAAAUGACGGUACCGGACCAAGAAGCCCCGGCUAACUACGUGCCAGCAGCCGCGGGAAUACGUAGGGGGCAAGCGUUAUCCGGAUUUACUGGGUGUCAAGGGAGCGUAGACGGCAGGGCAAGUCUGGAGUGAAAGGCGGGGGCGCAACCCCCGGAAGGCGCUGGAAACUGCCAGGCUGGAGUGCAGGAGAGGUAAGUGGACUUCCUAGUGUAGCGGUGAAAUGCGUAGAUAUUAGGAGGAACCCCAGUGGCGAAGGCGGCUUACUGGACUGUAACUGACGUUGAGGCUCGAAAGCGUGGGGAGCAAACAGGAUUAGAUACCCCAGUAGUC